UACGGAGGAUCCAAGCGUUAUCCGGAUUUAUUGGGUUUAAAGGGUGCGUAGGCGGCUUAUUAAGUCAGGGGUGAAAGACGGUGGCUCAACCAUCGCAGUGCCCUUGAUACUGAUGAGCUUGAAUACACUAGAGGUAGGCGGAAUGUGACAAGUAGCGGUGAAAUGCAUAGAUAUGUCACAGAACACCGAUUGCAAAGGCAGCUUACUAUGGUGUUAUUGACGCUGAGGCACGAAAGCAUGGGGAUCAAACAGG
rnacentral:rRNA from 1 species